rnacentral:rRNA from 1 species
AACAAACGCUGGCGGCGUGCCUAAUACAUGCAAGUCGAACGAGGAAGUACCUUCGGGUAUUGUACUAGUGGCGUACGGGUGAGUAACGCGUGGAUAAUCUUCCUCUAGGUGGGGAAUAACCAGUCGAAAGAUUGGCUAAUACCGCAUAAGACCACAGGGGCUUCGGUCCAAGGGGUUAAAGGUGAAAAUCGCCUGGAGAUGAGUCUGCGCCCGAUUAGCUAGUUGGUGAGGUAAUGGCUCACCAAGGCGACGAUCGGUAGCUGGUCUGAGAGGACGGCCAGCCACACGGGGACUGAGACACAGCCCAGACUCCUACGGGAGGCAGCAGUGGGGAAUAUUGGACAAUGGGUGCAAGCCUGAUCCAGCAAUGCCGCGUGUGUGAAGAAGGCCUGCGGGUUGUAAAGCACUUUUGUUCGGGAAGAAAUCAUGUCGGUUAAUACCCGAUGUGGAUGACGGUACCGAAAGAAUAAGCACCGGCUAACUUCGUGCCAGCAGCCGCGGUAA